GACGAACGCUGGCGGCGUGCUUAACACAUGCAAGUCGAACGGAAAGGCCCUGCUUUUGUGGGGUGCUCGAGUGGCGAACGGGUGAGUAACACGUGAGUAACCUGCCCUUGACUUUGGGAUAACUUCAGGAAACUGGGGCUAAUACCGGAUAGGAUCUCCUGCUGCAUGGUGUGGGUUGGAAAGUUUCGGCGGUUGGGGAUGGACUUGCGGCUUAUCAGCUUGUUGGUGGGGUAGUUGCUUACCAAGGCUUUGACGGGUAGCCGGCCUGGGAGGGGGACCGGGCACAUUGGGACUGAGGGAGGGACCAGAAUCCUACGGGAGGCAGCAGUGGGGAGUAUUGCACAAUGGGCGGAAGCCUGAGACAGCAGCGCCGCGUGCGGAAUGACGGCUUUCGGGUGGUAAACCGCUUUCGCCGGUGACGAGGCGGGAGUGACGGUAAUGGGUAAAGAAGCACCGGCUAACUACGUG
rnacentral:rRNA from 1 species